GGGAAACAGUAGCAGUAAGGGGAAACAGUAGCAGUGGGGGGGAAACAGUAGCAGUGAGGGGAAACAGUAGCAGUGAGGGGAAACAGUAGCAGUGAGGGGAAAACAGCAGCAGUGAGGGGAAAACAGCAGCAGUGAUGGGAAACAGUAGCAGUGAUGGGAAACAGUUGCAGUGACAGGAAAACAGCAGCAGUGAUGGGAAACAGUAGCAGUAAGGGGAAACAGCAGCAGUGAUGGGGAACAGUAACACUAAGGGGAAACAGCAGCAGGGACAGGGAAACAGCAGCAGUAAGGGGAAACAGCAGCAGGGACAGGGAAACAGUAGCAGUGAGGGGAAACAGAAAGUGAGGGGGAACAGCAGCAGUGAUGGGAAACAGCAGCAGUGAUGGGGAAACAGCAGCAGUGAGGUGGAAACAGCAGCAGUGACAGGGAAACAGCAGCAGUGAGGUGGAAACAGUAGAAGGGAGGGGGAAACAGCAGCAGUGAGGUGGAAAAAGCAGCAGUGACAGGGAAACAGCAGCAGUGAGGUGGAAACAGCGGAAGGGAGGGGGAAACAGCAGCAGUGAGGUGGAAACAGCCGCACUGAGGUGGAAACAGUAGAAGUGAGGUGAAAACAGUAGCAGUGAGGGGGAAACAGCAGCAGUGAUGGGGAAACAGCAGCAGUGAUGGGAAACAGUUGCAGUAAGGGGGGAACAGUAGAAGGGAGGGGGAAACAGCAGCAGUGAGGUGGAAACAGCAGCAGUGACAGGGAAACAGCAGCAGUGAGGUGGAAACAGUGGAAGGGAGGGGGAAACAGCAGCAGUGAGGUGGAAACAGCCGCACUGAGGUGGAAACAGUAGAAGUGAGGUGGAAACAGUAGAAGUGAGGGGGAAACAGCA
rnacentral:lncRNA from 1 species